AUUGAACGCUGGCGGCAUGCUUUACACAUGCAAGUCGAACGGAAACAUGAAAGAGCUUGCUCUUUUGAUGUCGAGUGGCGAACGGGUGAGUAAUACAUCGGAACAUGUCCUUUUGUGGGGGAUAACUACUCGAAAGAGUAGCCAAUACCGCAUAAGACCUAAGGGUGAAAGCGGGGGCUCGAAAGACCUCGCGCAGAUGGAGUGGCCGAUGACUGAUUAGCUAGUUGGUGGGGUAAAGGCCUACCAAAGCGACGAUCAGUAGCGGGUCUGAGAGGACGACCAGCAACAUUGGGACUGAGAAACGGCCCAAACUCCUACGGGAGGCAGCAGUGGGGAAUUUUGGACAAUGGGGGGAACCCUGAUCCAGCCAUGCCGCGUGCAGGAAGAAGGCCUUCGGGUUGUAAACUGCUUUUGUUAGGAACGAAAAGGUUUUAGUUAAUACCUAGAACUGAUGACGGUACCUAAAGAAUAAGCACCGGCUAACUACGUGCCAGCCGCCGCAGUAAAAC
rnacentral:rRNA from 1 species